rnacentral:rRNA from 1 species
AUUGAACGCUGGCGGCAGGCCUAACACAUGCAAGUCGAGCGAGCGGCGGCCGGGUGAGUAAUGUAUGGGGACUGCCCGAUAGAGGGGGAUAACUACUGGAAACGGUGGCUAAUACCGCAUACUAUCGGAUAACCCAUAUGGGAUUAGCUAGUAGGUGGGGUAAAGGCUCACCUAGGCGACGAUCCCUAGCUGGUCUGAGGGGAUGACCAGCCACAAUGGAACGGAGACACGGUCCAGACGCCGACGGAGGCAGCAGUGGGGAAUAUUGCACAAUGGGCGCAAUCCGGAUGCAGCCAUGCCGCGUGUAUGAAGAAGGCCUUCGGGUUGGAAAGUACUUUCAGUCGGGAGGCGUUACCGACAGAAGAAGCACCGGCUAACUCCGUGCCAGCAGCCGCGGUAAUUC